CGAAAGCCUGACGGAGCAACGCCGCGUGUGGGAAGAAGGCCUUUGGGCUGUCAACCACUUUUCUCAGGGAAGAAGUUCUGACGGUACCUGAGGAAUCAGCCUCGGCUAACUCCGUGCCAGCAGCCGCGGUAAUACGGAGGAGGCAAGCGUUAUCCGGAAUUAUUGGGCGUAAAGCGUCCGCAGGGGGUCUUCCAAGUCUGCUGUCAAAGCCCGGGGCUCAACCCCGACGCGGCAGUGGAAACUGGGAGGCUAGAGUACGGCAGGGGUAGAGGGAAUUCCCAGUGUAGCGGUGAAAUGCGUAGAUAUUGGGAAGAACACCGGUGGCGAAAGCGCUCUACUGGGCCGUGACUGACCCUGAGGGACGAAAGCUAGGGGAGCG
rnacentral:rRNA from 1 species